AAUGGGCGCAAGCCUGAUGCAGCCAUGCCGCGUGUGUGAUGAAGGCCUUAGGGUUGUAAAACACUUUCAUCGGUGAAGAUAAUGACGGUAGCCGAAGAAGAAGCCCCGGCUAACUCCGUGCCAGCAGCCGCGGUAAUACGGAGGGGGCAAGCGUUGUUCGGAAUUACUGGGCGUAAAGCGCACGUAGGCGGACUGGUCAGUUGGGGGUGAAAUCCCGAGGCUUAACCUCGGAACUGCCUUCAAUACUGCCAGUCUUGAGAUCGGAAGAGGUGAGUGGAAUUCCUAGUGUAGAGGUGAAAUUCGUAGAUAUUAGGAAGAACACCAGUGGCGAAGGCGGCUCACUGGUCCGAUACUGACGCUGAGGUGCGAAAGCGUGGGGAGCGAACAGGAUU
rnacentral:rRNA from 1 species